CUCUCUCUCUGACCAGUGGGACCGUCUUGUCGGUGUGAUAACUGGAUAGGCAUGGAUUCCCAGUCCCCACCCGCUGUCCGGCGAAGCGCCGCCCCCGGCGAUGAGAGCGACGCCGACGGCGGGCGGCGGAGACGACGGAGAGGGAGGGAGGGUUUCGAGAGGAGCGCUGCGGAGAACAUGGCUGAUACUGGAAUCUCGCCGCAUCCGUUCCGUCGAAAGCAUUCGCCAGAUCUCGCCGCGCCCCGUCCUCUCUCCUCUCCCUCCUUAUGCCGCCCGCAUCUCCGCCUUGUGUCUCCUCCUGACGCCAGCGGGACGGCGGAGAAGAAUCGGUAUGCGACGGGGCAGUCCGUGCCGGACGCGGCCGCUCUCCGGAGGUGGAGGAGGGGCUGUCGGUUGCUCGCGAAUGGGAGUGGAAGAGAAGCAGCAAUGCGAUUUGCAGUUCAGACAUGCGGAUGCGGACAUAAUGUGGGGUGCAAACAUAAGGUGACCAGGCUCGAUAUUGUUGAGACAUGAAAAGCUGAAUUAGCCGAGUUACCAUUCCUCUAUUAGCCGUUUCUCGAUGUUCUGUGAGAUGCAAUAUCCUGACUUGUUUGGAUCCCUGAAGCUGGGCUUAUCUCUAUGGAUAUUUCUCCCUCUUGUUGGCAGAGAGUCAUCAUCAGGGCUAUUAAAAGGGCUGAGGUUGAAGCAACUCCUGUGACUAGAAAAAGUCCUGAAAAGCUGUUGAAGUUUAGACUGCUUGAGCCGAUCAUGGUGCCAUCAUUCUGACAGGCAUGCUGGUCCUCAAUCCAUUUCUUUUCUAUAUGAAUUAUAGAAUCUCCCUCUGUUAUGUUGAGGAUUGCCCUUGAGAAGUCAUAAACUAGUGGGGAUCGUUUGGGAAAUGCCUACACAAGAAGUUGAACUGAUUCAGUUAUGUACAAACUGAUAGCUUGGACAUCAUCUCCAUUGGAAUCUCUAAUGUGGAGAACCAGCUUUGUCUUGAAGUUCCUGUGGACCGAGUAGAAAUCUUCGACAGCCAUCAAAACGCUGGUACGUGCUAUUUUGCCCACCAGCGACUUCAGGUGGAGGAUCACCCCAACAUCCAGUGUGCCUGCUCCAUUUUUGGUGAUAUUUUGAGCAACUGUCAGACUGAGGAACAAGAAUAAGAAUGCAGCCCUCCCAACUGCUCUCCCCAUCCCGGAUGGUUCUACUGGUUACUGAAUGUAUGGUGCUAUGCAGUCUUAUAGCACUGAAUUUUCAUUGUUCUGCUUUGGUCAAAUUGCAUUAUAGUAUUCUUUGUCUCUGAAUUGAAAAUUUAACCUUCCUUCUGGCUAUCUACUGCUAUUUCUUUGGUAAGAAGCUAAACGUUCUGUUUGUAAGUAUAAAAAGAUAUGUUUCUGGAUAGCUCCGUGUUAAGGUGACGACUUUGGGAAUUCAAGAAAAAUCUGGGUUGCAAGUUGCAGACGCGGGAAGAAUGAGCUGGCAUGUUGUCAGUGCAGCAAAGCAAAUCAGUGCAUGGGACUUCCUGCUGCAAAGCAAAUCAAUGCAUGGGACUUCCUUGCGAUGCCAAGUGUAUAUUCUGACAAACAAUUAAAAUAGUCGGGAAUUGUUAGAUUCAGUUGACAUUCGACUGCCAGAUGCUGUUCCUUGAAGUCUCAAGGACCAUCCAGUAUCAAUAUUUAUCCAAAAAGAAUCUACAAACUGUAAAAGAUGCAGGACAGGACGAUAGCAUGAAUAAAGUGAAGAUCACUGGAGUAGCAACGCUUAUAAAAUCCUCGUUUGGAAGAAGCUAGUCUGACGUACGUUGCUGGCAUGUGGAAGAUUAGUUCAGAAUUAAAGGUUUGAACCAGUAAUAGUAGAUAAGAUGAGCUAAUUGUACAUUUAUCCUUUAUUUUUGAGAAAUUGUACAUUUUGCUAUGGACUGGCAACCGGUUCUAUAAAUUAUCAUCGACGAAUAUGAAUACUAUAAAAUGUCAUUACGCAACGUUUUUUUC